CGAACGCUGAAGCACCAGCUUGCUGGUGUGGAUGAGUGGCGAACGGGUGAGUAAUACGUGAGUAACCUGCCCUUGACUCUGGGAUAAGCCCGGGAAACUGGGUCUAAUACUGGAUGCUACAUGUCACCGCAUGGUGGUGUGUGGAAAGGGUUUACUGGUCUUGGAUGGGCUCACGGCCUAUCAGCUUGUUGGUGAGGUAAUGGCUCACCAAGGCGACGACGGGUAGCCGGCCUGAGAGGGUGACCGGCCACACUGGGACUGAGACACGGCCCAGACUCCUACGGGAGGCAGCAGUGGGGAAUAUUGCACAAUGGGCGAAAGCCUGAUGCAGCGACGCCGCGUGAGGGAUGACGGCCUUCGGGUUGUAAACCUCUUUCAGCAGGGAAGAAGCCACAAGUGACGGUACCUGCAGAAGAAGCGCCGGCUAACUACGUGCCAGCAGCCGCGGUAAUACGUAGGGCGCAAGCGUUGUCCGGAAUUAUUGGGCGUAAAGAGCUCGUAGGCGGUUUGUCGCGUCUGCUGUGAAAGCCCGGGGCUUAACCCCGGGUGUGCAGUGGGUACGGGCAGACUAGAGUGCAGUAGGGGAGACUGGAAUUCCUGGUGUAGCGGUGGAAUGCGCAGAUAUCAGGAGGAACACCGAUGGCGAAGGCAGGUCUCUGGGCUGUUACUGACGCUGAGGAGCGAAAGCAUGGGGAGCGAACAGGAUUAGAUACCCUGGUAGUCCAUGCCGUAAACGUUGGGCACUAGGUGUGGGGGACAUUCCACGUUUUCCGCGCCGUAGCUAACGCAUUAAGUGCCCCGCCUGGGGAGUACGGCCGCAAGGCUAAAACUCAAAGGAA
rnacentral:rRNA from 1 species